rnacentral:rRNA from 1 species
AGCAUAUCAAUAAGCGGAGGAAAAGAAACCAACAGGGAUUGCCUCAGUAACGGCGAGUGAAGCGGCAACAGCUCAAAUUUGAAAUCUGGCGGCCUCUGGGCCGUCCGAGUUGUAAUUUGAAGAGGAUGCUUUUGGCGAGGCGCCUUCCGAGUGCCCUGGAACGGGACGCCACAGAGGGUGAGAGCCCCGUAUGGUUGGACGCCGAGCCUCUGUAAAGCUCCUUCGACGAGUCGAGUAGUUUGGGAAUGCUGCUCAAAAUGGGAGGUAAACCCCUUCUAAAGCUAAAUACUGGCCAGAGACCGAUAGCGCACAAGUAGAGUGAUCGAAAGAUGAAAAGCACUUUGAAAAGAGAGUUAAACAGCACGUGAAAUUGUUGAAAGGGAAGCGCUUGCGACCAGACUUGUGCUCGUCGAAUCAGCCGCCGCUCGUCGGCGGCGCACUUCGGCGGGCUCAGGCCAGCAUCAGUUCGCUGCAGGGGGAGAAAGGCGGUGGGAAUGUGGCUCUUCGGAGUGUUAUAGCCCGCCGCGCAAUACCCCUCGGCGGACUGAGGACCGCGCAUCUGCAAGGAUGCUGGCGUAAUGGUCGUCAGCGACCCGUCUUGAAACACGGACCAAGGAGUCGUCCUAAUAUGCGAGUGUUCGGGUGUAAAACCCCUGCGCGUAAUGAAAGUGAACGGAGGUGAGAGCUUCGGCGCAUCAUCGACCGAUCCUGAUGUUCUCGGAUGGAUUUGAGUAAGAGCAUAUUGGGCCGGACCCGAAAGAAGGUGAACUAUGCCUGUAUAGGGUAAAGCCAGAGGAAACUCUGGUGGAGGCUCGCAGCGGUUCUGACGUGCAAAUCGAUCGUCAAAUAAUGGGCAUGGGGGGCGAAAGACUAAUCGAACCUUCUAGUAGCUGGUUUCCGCCGAG